AUAUCUACCUACAAAGAUAUCCGCCAGAGAACUACAAGCCAAAUGCUUGAAACUCAAAGGACUUGACGGUACUUCAAACCCACCUAGAGGAGCCUGUCCUAUAAGCGAUAAUCCACGAUAAACCUUACCAUCCCUUGCCCUCAGCCUAUAUACCGCCGUCUCCAGCUUACCUUAUGAAAGAAAAAAGUAGGCAUAAUAGUCCAUACAACUAGAAAGUCAGGUCCAGGCGUAGCCAAUGAGAUGGAAGAGAUGGGCUACAUUUUCUAAGAUAGAAAUAGCCACGGAGAGAACCCUGAAAAAAGGUCUCAAAAGUAGAAUUUAGUAGUAAUUUUGGAAUAGUGAGCCAAAAUUAAACAGGAAAUGAAGCACGUACACACCGCCCGUCACCCUCUGCA
rnacentral:rRNA from 1 species